AGAUGUCUUUCUCAGUUGCUCUCUACCAUAUUUUUUGAGACAGGGCCUCUCAUUGAACCAGGAGGUCAUGGAUUCAGCCAGGCUAACUCCUGGGAUCCGAUCUGCUCGCCUCUUGCCUGAUCCUCCCACCCCUACCCCACAGGACUGGGAUUACAGGUACAAGCCUGUACCUAGCUGUUAGGUGGUACUCGGGAUCUGAACUGGGAUUUUCAUGCUUGCAAAGGUGAAUCUCUCCCCGCCCACUCAGAGGCUUCCAAGCUAAAGUUGAGGAACUGAUUUAAAGACAAACUCCCAGGUCCUUAACAUUUUAUCGUAAAGCUGGCUUUUAUGUCUUUCUGACAGGAAUGCUGGUGAGGAUGCACUUGUGGGGGUGGGACCACGGGACAGACCAGGGAUCUGCUCUGGGUCAGAUAGUGAGGUCAGUGGCAAGAGGGAAGUAGUGAGAAUCAACUCAAAGAGAUUCUUAGAUUCAGUGUUGUUCUGUCCUGGGGAGCACACAGGAGGAAGCAGGGAAGCGCUCCAUCUGGCUUAGGAUCUGUCCUCAGAUCCUGAGUACCACAUAACAGCUAGGUACAGCCUGGGGCUGCCAUGCCCAAGGCCCACAGAUGCCAGGCCACGAACACAGAGAAGACACACACAGUCUAUCAUUCCAAUUGGCUCAGCUCCCCCCUCUCCCCGUCAUCCCCUUCCCCCGGGAUGUGUGUGUGGUGAGAGAGGAGAUUGCAACAGAAAGUGACAGGGCUGAUUAAAGGCACAGCAAAUCAGGGCCACAAGGAAAGGUUAAAGGGAUGGCAGCUAUUUAGCCUGGAGAGGGGUGGUGCGGAACAGUUCCCGUCCAGUCUGUGCAGACUGGUUAGUAGAUGCAUGCAAGGCAGCCACCCCACUUAGCCACAGAUCUGGAGAUGACGGCACCCCCAAACUGGCCAAGCACUUCUGUGGGGUGGGGGCGAGGCUGCUCUGGAGACAGGCGGAGGAGGAGGCGUAAUUAUCAAGGCUCUUCUGUGGUCUCUGAAGGCCCCUCUCCAUUCCCCUUUGUUUUCUGCAUCUGUCAUUAUGUCGUGCAAACCACAGCCGGGCCUUUUGACAGCAUCGAUAUCUGCUUUCCUACACACACUUGGAAGGUAAUGUGGCUGUAAAUUGAACAAGUUAGAUAAAUGCCAGUACAAAGAAGAGAUUGUGUCUAGUUUUGUAGAGCCUUGUGACGGCCUCGUCCCCAACCGGCAUGAGUCUUCCUUUCCUCCACCACCUCCGGCCUUCUCUGGUCUAUCUGCUUCCUGAUUGACAGCCCAGGAGUCCUUAUUUGCUCUGCUUUUUCCUGAAUCUAUCACUCUUGACACUUUGCAAGGCCUUUUGCUUCAUUUCAAUUGCUUUUUGUUUCUUUGUUUUGGUUUUGUUUUUGUUUUUGUUGGAAACAUUUUCUCUUUCUGCUAGGUCAAGCUUUCUUACUCCUAUGGCCAGGCCAACAUAGCAUAUACAAAGGCCAGCCAGCCUCAGUUUCUCCUGGGACACACCCAGAGGCCUUUGGCCUGAGCCUCCUCAGAAUCCUGUAACUAGAGCCUACUCUGAUUCUCAACUGAGAACGGAAAGGAAUAUGGCUGUGGAAGGAAGCAGGGUCCCUACGAGCCAUUCUUCCACAGGCUUCUGUCCUAGCAUUGGGCUAUGAUCGGGUCGGGGGCUGGGACGUCCCGUGGUAAACUGUAUUUUGUUUUAGUCUUGCUAUUGAAGAAUUGAGAGUAUCAGCAAACUUCACCUGACAGGAGCAUGGUCUCUUGAGUUGACUCCAAAGGCCGCCUUCCCACCAAGACGUUCUUCAGGAAGCAAGAAAGGUAGGUCUCCCCACCUGCCAUUACCACACCAGGGACCACAUCUGCCAUGGCGAGCCCAGCUCAGGAGGUCAAAGGCAGCAACGAGCAUGUGACAGAGGCUUGGGGCUAGACAUGGGCAGAGACAACUCAGUGAAGAAUCCUGAGACACGCUGAGCCCAGAGCGAAUCUCUGUGUUCUCCCUGUAGUGGUGGGGACAGGCAGAAGGGACGUCCGGCUUGAAUUCUUUAGGGCUCGGCAGCAUGCGGCUCAGGGAUGACACCCACCAGGACACAGUGCUCAAGAAGACAGGAACAUAGAACUGCCUGCAAUUCUGGAGCUUUUAUGAUCCCUUCUCUAAGAGGUUACACUUCUGGUGACGAGACAAGACUGGAAAUUCAUGGAGCUGCCACAGAGACAAUUUGUUCUCAACGUGAGUUAUCAGAUGGAAUGAGGGAGCCAAGGAAGAGGUUGUGCAGGUCUGGGCCUCUGAGACCUGGGCAUCCCUCAUUUUAAUGCACAUCCAGUGUCCCCAACUCUGGCUGCCCGCUGUUCUUGGCAGUGACCAGUUUGACAGGGACUAGAUGGCGUGGGCUGCAUUUGCCUUGGUGUGUUGCUACCUCUCUUGAUGGUGAUGCUAGGCUUCUUCUCCUUCUUCUUCUUCUUCCUCCUCCUCCUCUCUUCCUCUCGAUUCUGAUCUCUUCUGCUUCUUCCCCCCACAAGCACAGGGGGAGCACAGGGGUCCUUGAAUCUGCAGAGAGGCCUGUCCAUCUCUGUGCUCCAUUCCACUGGAAAACUCAGAACAAUUCCUAUUAUUUUCGGUUCCCAGACCUUGAAUGUGUCAGCCUUCAGGUUCACUUCCUACGCCUCUCUCCGGCGCCCGGAUCUGCAAGUAAUUUAACCUUGUUUUUAUAGAGCGCAAAGACGUCCCGCUUGUUUACACUGGAGACAAAUUUUCCUCAAUUGACAUAGUCCUAUUGAUGAAAUAAUGACUUUCUUCCUCAUUUAAAGGUAAUUUUGGCUGGUGUCAUGACACGCAGGAGAAAGUGAAAGGCCCCUGUGUCCCACUGCUGAAGGGCAGGCUCUUGCGGCUCCGAGCCUAGGCUUUCUCUCACCUGUUCUGAAGCAUCUCCGGCGGUCCAGGGAGGCUGCUGCCCAGACCAGAGGAGGUUGGCCAAACUAAACAGCCAGUUCUUGAUUAGGGAAAUCAGAAAGCAACCUUGACUGGGUAAUGAAUGCCAAGGUUGGGCAGGACAGAUGUACUUUGUAUCAACAAUGGCUUGAUUUACUGUCCAGAUUCUUAACAUCUAAUCAGCUAGGGCCUGCACUUCCACUUUUUUUAUUUAUUCAUUUUUUAAGGUCACAUCACAUGACAGCCAGGACAUGCUAUUUUGGUCAAGGAUUUAAAAUCAAAGGGAUGGAGUGGAGAGUCAGGGAGAAUGGCAGGGGACUGCCCAUAUAGAAGGAGCACACAGAAGAGGGGUGGGGGAAACCCUUAGCUUCCUCUGAGCCCAGUUGCUUGUGAGGAAGCAGGGAGGGCCAGACCUUCUAAGACUUUGUCCCUUCAGUUCUGUGAUGCAAGGAGCCAAGAGGCCUCUGUUCAUUCUUGCUUCCGUUCCGGGUCCUUGGGCUGUGUAUUUUGAUAACGAUAAGAACAGAGGACAUCUGGGUGGAUGCGCCCUCUCCCAUUACUUUUCAGUGAGGUCGGGACAAUACAUUCUGUGUUAGCAGCGCUGUUUGAGAACAAGAUAUCCUCAUAUGUUCUUGGGGUUGAGGGGGUUGGAAUGUAUAUUAUGCAAUAACUUUUAAAAUAGUUUAGUAGAAACUUGGGUUGUAGCUCAGGGCUAGGAGGCUUGUUUAGUGCGUGCAAGGUCUAGGUUUGAUCUAUAUCACUACAGAAACGUUUUAAGAAAAAAAGAUAAUUUGUAAAUACUCGUGGAUAUAGUUCUAAAUGCAAACCCAGAGUAGCAUAGAUACUGUGGUCUCACAGUACCUAAAUGUUACUGGCUGACAUAGUUCAGGUUGUUCAGUCUGUUGCAGACACUCAAGAAGCAUUCCGUUGUUUUCUCGUUUUCUCUUCUCCAGAGGUUGACAGGCGUUUUUUUGUUUGUUUGUUUGUUUGUUUGUUUUUGAAGAGCCAGAGAGUAAAUAUUUCAAGCUCUUCGGGGCUAGGGUACAGCCUCUGUUAGAGGAAACAUGGAAAUGUGUGUGGUUGUGUUCCCAUAAACUUUGUGGGCCUGGAAUUGGGAUUUCACAUUCUCCCUGUGAGUCACAAGGUCUUCUUCUCUUGAUUUUGCUGCUCACUUAGAAUAUAAAAAUCCAUUUUUUUCCCUCAUAGGUGGUGAGGUAGACUUGGCCGAUAGAUGGCGGGUCUGUUCUUUGGGAUAGUCCUUAGGGAAGAACUAUUAACAGACAAGGAAGUCAAGACUUAAAGUAGAUAAGAACUAGAAUACUGUCUUCUUUUGGAUUCAGGGUCUCUUGUAUCCAGGCUGGCUUCAGACUCGAUGUGCACCAGCAUGCACAGUUUACGAGCUAUGCUGGGGAUCGAGGCCAAAGCUUCGUGCACUCUACACAAGCAGCUUACCAACUGGACCACAUCGUUAGCCCAAGCAGAUGAUCUUUUCUACUAGCUUGAACUUUUCUGAGACAUCAAAUAGACUUGGGGAUUAGGUUCCCUAUUUUUAAUGGCCAUUACAGAGAGAUGCUUCAUGAUGAUUCAGAUUUAAAACAUACGAGGAAAGACCAAUCCUUGAAAGGGCUAUGAGAUCUCAGGCUGGCCUAGGAGUUAUGCAGGACAAUGGUGUUGAAGGGCAUUGGCUGGAAGUAAGAAAGGAGAAAAAAGAGAGAGAAACCUGUUCUGUGAGUGUUGGGUUGUAGAUGAGGCUAAGAUCUCUUGUUUGUUGGGAACAGGGGGAUGUCAUCUAGGUAGGAUGGAGUCCAGGCUGAGAGAGUAAGGGGAAGCCUGCCGUGACUACAGUCUCCUCCCACUCUGUGGUUAACGUUGAUACAUUUUGGAAAGUUCUCUACUGCUUCCUCUAACUCUUAAUGUUUCUAAGAUGAGCAGAUUUUUUUUCUCCAGAGCCAAACUGUCUCAUUCCAGGGCUGGUUGCAGGCCUGUCCUGUUCCCUGGCCAGACUGAGGGGAGACUCAAGAACACCCUCUGAGACAGGGCCUCAGUGAGUCCAAUCCUGUUAGGAGUGUUAGUGGGUGUUGGUGCUGAGGACCACAGAGGAAGGAGGGAGGGAGGCAUUAUAGCCCCUUCACCAGUGUAGUUAGCGUCUGAAGGGCAACUAAUAUGUGUGGGCUUCAAAUCGAGUAGCGUCCUGUGAGGCACUGGGAUUCUGUAGCUGGAUAUUGAAGCUGAGGCUCAGGAUAGGGAGUAACCAAAGCGUGGUCAUACCUGUCCAAUCCUGUCUGCCCUCUGCCUUGCAGCAUCAGACCCCUACAUGAUGCUGGGCAGAGGACAACUGCAGUUCUUGCCUGAACCCUUGGUGCUGGGUGACUUGAGUAAGUGGCCUGACCUCUCUGAGUUUGUGUUUCUUCUCUUAUAUCAUAGUUUCCAUGAACAGAAAAGGAGUGCCACAAGAACGUGUCUAAAAAGUGCCAGAUGCCAGACAUUCGGAUACCCAAGAACUUUAAGAUGAUGGAGUUUUGACUUCCCGUCUGAGCGUUGUAUGUCACACUCUGAUAUAAGCUGUGGAAAUGGUUUGAAGCAAUAGGAACCCAGACAUCUCAUGCUUGCGGACGCAGGCUGACUGUGGCAGACAUGACAUGAAAGUUGAACAACAAGCAUGCCUGUCAUUUGAAAGACCUGUGAUGGAUAAACAUUGAGUGGGGCCAAUGGAAGAAGACAGAGAGAGAUGAAGAAUAGAGGCCCCUGGUGGAUAACAAGAACGUGUGAACUAGACCGCCCUCCUUCCGGUAUCUGGGUAAACACGCGGAAGCUGUCAGAGAUGAUGCUUCCGGCGGUGUUUGCGUCUUGACCUGUUAGAGAAGAGGUGUCUUUUCACCCCAGAGUAUCAAACAGAAAGCUCCCUUUGGCCUCAAGAGUACAAGACAAAAACCAGGAGGCUGACUUUCUAGAGCCACACCGCGCUUUCUAGAAUCACACUGUGUGAACAUCACUCAGACGCUGAGGGGGCGUGCUUGAAUGAAAACCAUUAUAACUUUGAUGGAGGUAAACUCAGGCAAGACUUAGCUCAAGGGUAGGUAGGGUUUGGUCUCUAACUCGUUAUACAAACAGGGUGCCGCAUUUGAUGCAUAGGAACCAACGUUACUGGCAUUUCUAAGGGGCUCCACCCAUAUCUGAAUGUCCUCUCCUGAGUGGCACUUGAGCAGAACUAGACUGCCAGUCCUUUCCCUGCCUGGGACCUGGUUUCUCUUACAACCUUGCUCUGUACAACAGUUUACUAGCACCCUGGGAAUGGCCCAGAUCACAUCAGUGUUCACAGUCAGAAGCACCUGGCUGUUUGGAUCCAUGUGCCUUUGGGACUCUGUUACUAAAAUCUUGUUUCUGGGACCACCGGUCUAGGUUUGGUUUGGUUUGGUCGGCUUCUGUCUUACCUAGACCUACCUUGAGGCCUCAGAGAACAUUCUACAGGUCGGCAGCAUCAAAACACCUAAAACAAACGACCAAAGUUCAACUUGCCUUGGAGAAAAGAGAGCUAUGUUCUUUUGGUCCCAAGCCAUGUGCCAGGGCUGGAACCAAACAGAGCUGGCCUCAACCCAUUGUUCAACAUCACACGAUCUGAGGACAAACAAACGAGAAAGUAGAUGGUGACCAGAAGAGAGAGCAGGUCACGCAUUUGUGCAAACUGUUGAUCUUGUCUUUGAGAGGCACGACUGUCUGUCUGACCAGUUUGUCCUGAUAAUAGUUACAAACUGUUCACUUUAUUGUGCAAGUCUGAAACCCCGAGUUCUUUACCGAGUUCUCUCCUUCUACCAAUAACUCGGUUUGGAAAAAUUAUCUGUGAUAAAUUUUGUGUCGGAUGCCCAAAGAAAAAUGUAUAUCUUUUUUUUUUACCAUGUAGAAUUAGGUUGUUCUUAAAUAUGUAAUCGCAUAGGAAAAGAGCUAUGGCGCUAUUCCUAAGGGCUGGCCAGCCUACGGGUGUCCCUGGCCAUAUGGUCCUCAGGCACGUUUUACAGAAGAGAAAAUUGAGGUUCAGGUCAGACGAGUAACCUGAGUUCAUGAGUUAGACAGUAAACUCGACUUAUAAAUGAGAGUCAGCGCAGGCAUACAUUUUUUUUUGCAGCCCACUUCAAUAAACUUCCAACCUCUCCUCUUGCCCAACACUUACCAGAGGUAGUAGAAGAGAAAAGAUAUUAGGACAUAGGGUAAGAGGACCUGUUUAGGAACAGUUCUUUGGGGGUCGAGCUUGAUCUUCUUGGGCAGCUGUGUAGUCCCAGAGCAAGCACUCAAUACGACUCAGUAGCUUCAAUCCAGUCCUCUCAGCAGGCAGACCCCAUGCAUGAACCAGCAGACGUAGUUCAAUCCUGAAGGAACCGCAAGGCUCACCAACUGGCCUGAGGAAUGACAGACUGCUACAGGAACCUCAUGAGUGAUUCUUUGGCAGGUUUCUCUCAAUGGCAGCAUCACCACAAGUUGAGCUCAACAGUGCUAUGAAAGGCUAAACAAUACAUGUGUGUCUUUAGUGAAGAAUAGAAAGACAGAGCAAACCAAACCAAUGCUCUGACAGCUCCCACUAUUUGAGGGGCCACAUUUAUAUUCCUUCAUUACGGGCCCAAGGAGAUAUGUUUUCAUGGUGAGUCCAAAACCCAGCCAGGCUGACCAAAGAUUAACCUUGGUGACAAGCCCAAGUGUUCAUUCUCUAGCUUCUCACCAGCUUCCAACUCCUGAAUGGACCCAGAAGGCUGCCAAGGCUGAGGAACGCUGAUGGUACCAACACAUGGCAGCACUGUAGUUCACUGGUGUGAACUACAGCACCCACUAUUAUUUUGGGAGCAGGAAAAGCCAAAGGCAAGAUCUCACCAUGUUAUUUCGGGGCAAGUCCACCAGAGAACUCACACAGACACACUCAAGGCCAAAUAGAAAGUCUACAUUGCCAGUUGGCAACUGCACAGUUGGGUUUAAUUUGCCCAAACCGUCCAGCCCCAAGCCUCGCUAGUCUUUUAUGCACAAAAAACACAUUUUAGUAGACACAUUUCGGUUAGCAAGAGUAGUUAGCAAGAAGAAAACCACAGAAGCCUAAAAGCAAGGUUAGGACAUGGAGGGACUUUUCUGGAUCCUAGAACUUUGGACUUGGUCUUUGUUCUUGGCUUGGUAGGUGCUGGGCUGCACAUUGGCUUUUAAGGUUGGAAUGGUGUCUCUCAGAGGCCACCAGAUGUGUUAAGGUCUGGGGGCUUGUUACAGUGUAGCCCAGGAUGGCCUUGAAUUCACCCCCGAGCUCUGGAAUUACAGGGAGAUGUGCACUGCUCUUGGCAUUCAUUCUUUAUACUAGUAACAACCAGACACACAUAAGACACCGGGAUAAAAAGGUUUGCUGCACUUUAAAAGAGAAAGGGUUUCUUGAAAAUAAAAAAAUGUGACAUGUAAUCAGAUUGAAGUUUUAGAAGAUUACAGUGUCACUCUUAUUUAAAUUUGUGUAUUCGUUAACAACCAUUGCCCUCGGAGUACCCCCUCCCAUCGGUUAUAUCACUAGGCAGCCAGAUAAAUUACGACGCCAGGAAUAUCCUGCUCUAUUGCAGAUUAAAAAUAUUAACUGUGACCAUGCUUAGUUUUUAAAAUCAAAAUGUCACUGUUCAAAUAAAAAAAAAGUACACUUGUUACCAUUUACAUUUUUCUUUUAAGUGGAUACGUUUAAGUCUUAAAAAGUAAAUCUAAUGCAUGUGAAAAAUAACUCUUCUUUUCAUUUUUUUUACAAAAUGUAUUCAAUGUAUGCAAAUUUUAAUAGGAUCACAUUUUGCAUUAAUCAUUUUUAUUGUUGAGAGCGGCUAUGAGUCAGAAGAGCUGUAAAAGAUGAAAUGGGGGCAUAAAACUCGGAAGCUUAAGAGAAACAGAAACUCGGGGGGCGGGGGCGCGCGGAGCGAGAUCUACACAGAUCUCUGGACCCUGGAGAAACGAGGGAAGUGCGUGAGUUGGACGGCUCUCAGCGCCUCCCACGUGACAUUGCCACUCAGGGCUUUGCAAAUGACUUACUUCAGACAGGUCUAGUUAAUGAUGAAAACAAUGAGAAAUUAAAAGGCGGUUCUUAUCAAGUUGAGACCCUAGAAGCAAGAGGUGCAGCUGGUGCCUGUCUGGGUGACAAGGAGAAAAUUCCAUCUGUAAAACGAGCCCAGUGGGAAGAGAGGGAGAGCCCUGGCCUUCGAGCUCUGCUGGCUCCCUGGAGCCUGAUUCUGGCUCUGACUGACUCUUUCCUCCCGGCACAUUCUCAUCUAAGUGAUUUAUUCCUCUUGGCUAAACAUGGCACAGCACUGAACAUUUUGUUUCACACCAGAAUUCUUUCAGUCGGAAAAAGACGUUGUGGAAAUUGGCUCUUAAGUUCAAAGGCAAAAUGCUUUGUGAAUUCUGUAACAGUUAUUGCCAGUCUUAAGGCAGCUCUAACCAGGGAGGAAUUUCAGAAAGAAUUUCACAGAAAAGCACACAAGCGACUCUCACGGAGGAACAGAGGUAAAUAAUCAACAAGCUGUAAGGGACACUGACAGAAUAGCUCUAAAAUUAGAGCCAAUCAGGACAGAGCUUCUUGGGGUCUUUGUAGAGAACAGGAAAAACCGGGUAUGGUCCAUGCCAUUUUUAAUCCCUGCACUCAGGAGGUACAGGCAAGUGCAUUUCUAUAAGUUCGAGGCCAGCCUUCUCUACAUAGUGAACUCCAUGCUAAUCUAGGGAAAAAACAAACAAAUAAACAAACAAACAAACAAACACAAAAUGUUUCUGAGUUUGCUCCCAAGUGGCUCAAACACGAACUGAAGGUUUUAAAAUCCUCUCCUUCAAUUCAGAAAGUGCGGAAGUCCCAUGAACCCCCGAUAAUGUAUAAAACUUGGGUACAUCCUCGUACAUUAGAAUUUUUUUGUUGUGUGUGUGUUGUAAGUGACAUACAAUGGAUCCAGAGCAGGUUAUCUCAAAUGGAGUUUAGAUAAAGUGUAGGUGGAAACCUGUGCAUCUUGGGGAAGGGUACAAGGAAAGUCUGGAGUAGUUGAAAACAAGAUUGCUGACUGCACUGAGCAGCUUGCAGCCUUCCUUGGGUGGCCACUGUGUAGUUUCACAUCAUUGACCUCGGGUUCCUUGACUCAGAGGGUUGUAGAGAAAACCUGACACUGACUUCUUUCUCUUUCCAGGUCGAAAGUUCCUAGAAAGUACAUAGCUCCUCUCCUGAUGAGAACCAUUCACUGUGGCCAGAACGUGUCUGGGACAGUAGAGGUAACCAUGUGCACAGUGUAGAAUUAUAGUAAGGAGAAAAAUAACAUAAAGGUAGUUAAGCUGAGUGGUAUGCAUCAGUGACUGCCAACAUUAGGGUAUCUGAGGGAGGGGGAUAAUAAAUCCAGACUGCCUAGGGCUAUGUCAUGAGUUCACGAGCAGCCUGUGAAAAAAAUCUAUGAGACCCCCUAUCUCAGAAUAAACUCUGAAACAGUAAGAAGGCUGGGGACAUCACGUGUCAUUCACGCACGUCUCUGAGUUCAAGGCCAGCCUGCUCUACAUAGUUGGCACGAUGUGCUUGUGGUCCUAGGUUCAAUCUCAACACUGUGGAAAAAGACGAGAGGGCUCAGUGUUGUUUCCUGGAGACAAAAUUCACACUUAGGGAGUAUUUUGUGCCAGUGUUGUAUCAAAUGUUUGUUUGUUUUUUUUUUACUGUAGAAGAAAUAAUAUAUACUUUGACCUGGGAACUGGAAAAGAUGUUCUAUUGCAACAGGUAUUUGUAAAAGCCAAGCUUUCUAAAUAUGAAAGUGUUCGUUUCCCUCAGUUCUAUAUGGUAAAAAAAACAUGCAAAGUGUCAUUAUGAAUAAACUUCAGAAGCCACUUAAUAAAUUAUCAAUAUUAAACAAAUUGUAACUGUCUUGGUUGUAUUGUCCAGAAAAAAAAAGGUUUAGAAGUUCUCAGAAGGCUCUGAAAAGACGGAUAAGGCUGUUAAAUAAAUUGAAUUAAAAAAAACCCAUCUUUUUCAUAGGCAAUUGAAGGGCAAGCCUAUAUAAUAGUUUAGAAGUCUGUGUCUACACAGUUCAGGUAGAAUGCAUCAGAGGUCAUGGCGAAGCCUUACACGUGUGAGAUUACAUGAUCAGAAGCAAACAAGGAACCUGAAAUACACAGAAAUUUCACUGAUUUUAUUUUAAUACCCGCUGUGAAACAUAUAGUUCUUGUCAACUGAGAAAGUAUGCCUUUAAUGUUUAGCCAUCGGGUUCCAAAGGAUGGUGAAGGCUGGCUUUUAUUGAUGUCUUGUGGUUGCUAAAGAAAAAGAUACAUGCUCCAGGCCUUGGCUGAAAAUGUGGAAGCAUUCUUUGAGCAAUGGUUUCCAUUUUAACAAGGAGAACUUCACCUCUCUCCAUAGGUUGGUGGUGUUGCUUGGGACAGUUCAGCAAUGGUGCACACUGCUCUCAGGUCCCUCUGAAGAUGAAGCACUUCCUUUGUUCCUUCCUUGCCUGCCCACAUCUUUCUUUCUCAUGUGUAUGUCUACUGCAGCAUGUGCAUGGAGGUCAGAGGUCAACUUUCAGUCGUCAGUUCUCUCCCUCCACCAUGGGAGUCCAAGGAUCGAACUCACAUCCUCAGGCUUGCUGGCAAGUACCUUACACAGUGAGCCAUCUCACUGGCUCUAAAGUUGGAACACUUCGG
rnacentral:sRNA from 1 species